rnacentral:rRNA from 1 species
GAUGAACGCUAGCGGCAGGCUUAAUACAUGCAAGUCGAGGGACAGCACAGGUAGCAAUACUGGGUGGUAACCGGCAAACGGGUGCGGAACACGUACACAACCUUCCUUUAAGUGGGGGAUGGCUCAGAGAAAUUUGGAUUAAUACCCCGUCAUAUAGUUGAAGGGCAUCAUUUGAUUAUAUAGCUACGGCGCUUAAUGAUGGGUGUGCGGCUGAUUAGAUAGUUGGCGGGGUAACGGCCCACGAAGUCUACGAUCAGUAGCUGAUGUGAGAGCAUGAUCAGCCACACGGGCACUGAGACACGGGCCCGACUCCUACGGGAGGCAGCAGUAAGGAAUAUUGGUCAAUGGACGCAAGUCUGAACCAGCCAUGCCGCGUGAAGGAUUAAGGUCCUCUGGAUUGUAAACUUCUUUUAUUUGGGACGAAAAAGGGCCUUUCUAGGUCAACUGACGGUACCAGAUGAAUAAGCACCGGCUAACUCCGUGCCAGCCGCCGCCGUAUAC